UUGGCUUUUCAGGUGCCCUAUGAACUUUUUGCAUUCCCAGAUGAGGAUGUGAGGUGUCUCGGGUGUCCUCACAGUCCCGAUACUGCUGCGUGGGUUUGGCAGCGUCAUCACAGCGCCGAUACCAGAGCCGAAUUACGGCGAGUCGCGGGCGAGCGGAGCGACGGCGGUACUUUGCGGGAGGGCGUUUCUGUGACCGAUGCGGGAACCGAACCGUUACAAGGGCGACCGCUCRUGCUCCAGUCUGACAGGUGACRGUGGCCAACGGGGCAUCUGCAAUAAGAUCGAAGGAGGURCCUCUGCCAACUGAGGAUGUCUCCCGAAGUGUCGCAGCAACCCAGAGCACAGCGCAAGCUAAGUGGAGGGAUGGAAGGUGUUGGGAUGUUGUGUGUCCAUGUGGGUGUGCUCUUGCGGUGCCAGCGUGUCUAGUUUGGAUGCCUCUUGUGGAUGAGUGGGGCGUGAGGGUGCCAUCUCGGGUGUUGCACAGCAGGAAGCGUGGGCUUGCUAGGGCAGGCGACUCCGGCCCGUGUCUGUGGUGCCUGUUGUAGCUGUGCUCUCUUGCUCGCGUCUUGAGGUAGCCCUUGUUCUCAGGGAUCGGGAACGCAUCCGGCACUGUGYGAAAGUAGUGCCGUAGGCAUCCGUUGUCUUUUCCCCUGGCCUGAGUUGCGCUCAUCGUGCCAGCGGAUCCCAUCUUGCGUUGCGAAGUCAGCUCGGAGAUGUUUUGUCCUUCCAUCUCCAGGUUGUCCCCAUUGGUGACUGUUUGUGCUUUUGACCAUCAUCAAGGUCUCAUGAGGCCACAUUUUCCCCUCGAUAGCUGUUCUUGUUUUGCGUCUUUCGGGCACCCUUUCGGGGUCGUCUUCCCCGCAUUGUUCCAUCAUCGGAUAUUUUUUCAAAGGCCUCUUCCUCAUCGCCGUCUCCAACUUUGCCGGCCCCUUUCCGACCCGGCGCCGUCGCUCGACUUCGAUCCGCUCUUUGCCGAGCGUCAGGGCCCCGCGGUCGYGAUGUCGUAAGGCUUCUCUGGCCCUCGGUAUCUUCCGUGCGCUACCAGGUCUCUCUUGCAUCAAGUUUUCUCUGUCUGUCCAGUGUUGUUUGUGUGCGUGGCUGUACGUGCACGGUCGGAGCCGCCUCGCC